GAGCAUUGUGCAUAAUUGUUUCAAAUUCAGAAAUUGCAACUGAUUUAAACUGGUUUAUUGAUUGCGCGAAUAAUCAUAUAUAUUUUACAGUGCAUUUUAAUUUGACUUCUGCUUUAUAAUUUAUUUUGAUAAUAGCUUAACCUGUUCAUAAACUUCUUGCAAUAAUAUCUUACAAAGGUCAUGAUAAAUAGGUGUGGGGACACUGAGCAAUGUUCACGAAGUAUUAAAGUACAGUGGUUCAGUAUUUUGAAUGACUAGUCGAUAACUGUAACUUAAGUAUUAUUUAUAUUUUGGACUUCUUUAUUGCUGUAGGUGACUUUAGGAUGGUCUAAUUGUGCGACCUGCAUCAACAAUGCCCGUCUCAGUGUUACCUAGCCUUGACCCUGUGUUUGCCAAGUGGGAGUCACGCGGACCGAAGGGUCCAACAGGGGGCGCACCUCAGCAAACUGGGGGUGGGGACCACCUUGUAACCAAUGGCGACAGAGCCAGGCAGAAAUGGAGGGAGAAAUUAGGGAACAAUGUUCAGCAAUUAAAAAUGAGGAGGACCCGAGAGAGAGAAAAGCCAAGGAAAGUUGCGAUAUCAUCUGAAACAAUAAUAAGCAACACAAUUGCGCAAUUUAAAACUAUGCCAACUGUGAUGCCAGAACAUUUCAACACUCAUCGCCCAUUCAUGGGAACUUGCUGCUCCUGUAUGCCCAACAGUCAGAAGGAUCUGGUGGUGGCCAACACAAGUUUAGAAGGCAUGAGAAAUAUCCUGGAUGUGAGGCAUGAGAUGAGAGGCAGUGGCAUUCUAGCUCGCCAGUUUGCAACUGCUGCGUACACGUGGCGCAUUCGAUGUGCACAUAAAUACCCUGAUGUCCAUUUGGCCACGUUGACAAGCCAGAGAGUGGUAGAUGCGAUUCAUGCAGAGUUGCUGGCAGAAGAAGUUCGUCAAAGCCAGAAAGAAAUGGAAAAACGUGCGAAGAGAAUCCUUGAUAAUAUGAAGUCACAAAUAUCAAAUGGCCUUACACGAUUUGCCGUGUGGUUUCUACACCACUUCCUCAGCCUGCUUCUGGGAGGUCUGCAUGUGAAUAAGGGACAGAUGAAAAUGGUGAAGGCAGCUUCACAGCGAGGCGUGCCGCUGUUGUUCCUGCCACUGCACAAGAGCCACCUUGACUACAUACUCAUCACUUUCAUUCUUGGUAACUUUGACAUCAAGAACCCCAACAUUGCUGCUGGUGACAACCUUAACAUUCCAUUCUUCAGUUACCUGAUGCGAGGACUGGGAGGGUACUUCAUACGGAGGAAGUUGGACCGUGGAGACAAGAAGGACAGCAUUUACAGGGCCGUGCUGCACUCUUACAUGGAGCAGUUGCUAUGUUACGGGGAGUUUAUGGAGUUCUUUCUGGAGGGGGGUCGCUCUCGUACGGGCAAGGCUCUGCAGCCAAAGGGUGGACUGCUGUCUGUCAUCAUGGACUCACUCAAUAACGGUGUGGUAGAAGACGUGUACAUGGUUCCCAUCAGCAUCAGCUAUGAGAAACUUCUGGAUGGCAACUUCAACCCAGAGCACAUGGGUAUGCCCAAGAAGAAGGAGUCUUUCUGGGGUGCUGUGAGGAGCAUAUGGUCAGUGAUGAGGAGUCACUAUGGCAACGUGAGGGUGGACUUUGCACAGCCUUUCUCUCUCAGAGAGUGUGUUCAAGCCCUAACGCCCGGAAGCCCCCGUGGUAGCCUCCGUGGUAGCCCAGAGUCGUCAGGCGGGGAGUGUAGUGACCCUUGUUCCCCCCGACCCCUCUGUAGGGCAUAUAGCAGCAACACGUCGCUCUACGGGACAGAUGUUGUCGUUGAGGAUGAGAGACGGGUCAUCAACAACAUUGGUCUUCAUGUCUUACACACCUGUGUUCAGACCUCAGCGCCCAUGUGUACCAACCUACUGGCCUUCCUCUUCCUUACAAAACACAGACAGGGAGCCACGAUGGAGCAGUUGAUGUCUGAUUUCAACUGGCUGCGAGGGGAGGUGAUCAUACGCAAGCGUGACCUUGGCUUCUCCCCCAACACAAGCUCCAAGGAUGUCAUCAUGUAUGCACAGUCUCUUUUAGGGGACAAGCUUGUCACCAUAAGCAGAGGCUCUAGUAGUCUGCAGGACAGACUGACCCCCUGUAUGGAGAUCCCAGGGAUGUUUGAACUGUGUUACUAUAGCAACCAGGUCAUCUCAGUCUUCCUCCUGGAGAGCAUCAUAGUGAGCGCAGUGGUGUCCCUUUGUGACAUCAACAUGAGUACCCUGGCCUCCUCCGUGCCAGGGGAGGCAAUUCUCAUGACAAGGGAGGAAAUCCUGCAGACAGCUCAACAGCUGUGUGACCUGCUGAGAUACGAGUUCAUCUUUGUUCCACCCUGUGUUGAGCUGGAGGACGCUUUGGCAGAUAAUCUGGACAGACUCAUCACCUCCGAGCUGCUCAAAACGGAGGACACACAGUGUUCCAGUUCCUAUGAUAAUGUGUAUGACAGACAGUGGGCCUCUAGGCUGUCAGACAGUCUGUCAUGGGCACAGGAAGAUGAAGAAAUUUACCAUGAAGAUCAAUUCAGGGUGAACAUAGAGCGCGAGGAUUGUAGAGAGAAGCUGCAGUGGUUCCACUCCAUACUGGCUCCCUUCUUUGAGGCCUACCUCGUCACAGCCCAUCAAGUGGACAAACUGGCAGAGGGAGAAAUGCCAGAGGAUGAUUUUAUGAAAACACUUCACAAGCAGGCCACAACAAGAGUUCAGGAUGGAGUGGCAAGUUAUGCUGAGAGUGCAUCCCUGGAGACCCUGAGGACGGCGGUGAGGUCGUACAAGCAUCUCAACAUCCUGGACAACUACAAGGCCGGCAACGUGACCAUGCUGGAGCUCACAGACCGCACUGACUUACUGCAUCAACACAUACACCUGCUGCAGACACUGAGGGGCUAGGCACCUAUCAGUAGGGACCCUUAAGGGGCUAGGCACCUAUCAGUAGGGACCCUUAAGGGGCUAGGCACCUAUCAGUAGGGACCCUUAAGGGGCUAGGCACCUAUCAGUAGGAACCCUUAAGGGGCUAGGCACCUAUCAGUAGGGACCCUUAAGUCCCAUGUUUCUGUGGGAAGUGUGUGUGUGUGUGUUUGGGUUGGUUGCUAUAAGAACCACAAAGGCAUGCAUAUAUGUCUGCUACAGACACGGACAGGCUAGGUGGUUGGACUUCUAUGCCUUAUGUACAUCAUCAUUUGGGUUAUUACCUUGUCUUGGUAUGGUUGUCUUGUGAACUGAAAAUGGAUACCGGGUGCACAAACACAUAAAACAUUUUUGGUAAUAGUGGUGUGGAGGGAUAAUUAUGGCUAAUUUUGACUGAAAUUGUUAUAUUUGCAUAUGUGUGUGUGUGUGUGUGUGUGUGUGAGAGAGUAGUCGAGUUAUCAAUGUAUGUUUUAUGUAUAUUUUGCUCCUACUGUCAUCGAAUUGGCCUUCAGUGUUUGAUGGCUUUGUUUAUGAAGGCUAGUCAUUAGUCAGUGCUUUAGUGUGUUACUUUGCUGUAAGUAGUAAGAAUUCAUAAUAUUGAGUUUCAACUUUUGCUCAAACUGCCAUUGCCUUUUCGUGCUUUACAAUAUGUUGUUAUUGUUUCUAUAUGUUUGUUAAUUAUUCGAUUAUUUCUUGUUUAAUUGACUUCUUGCAUAUGAUAUUAUGUUAGUAACAUUUUGUGCUCAUGUAUUUGAGUCAAGCAAAAAUAUUUUCUGAUAAUAAGUCACAUCAUAUGAUUCCUUCAUUUCUCAAUAAAUCAUAUUUUUGGACUGUUAAUGGUAUAACGUGUCUUACUGUGAAAUUACUCAAUUGCAAAGAUCACAUAUUGUUUAAUUAUAUUGUUAAGGAUACCUGAUAUAAAUUGUGAAUCUACUUUUUGUAUAUUGAUGAUUAGUAUUUAUGAUGUUUAUUUUGUGAUUAUUCCGUGUAUAUAUUGAAGAUAAAUCUGUGUUGUACAACACAAUUGAUAGAUCUCAGAAUCAAAAUGUACUCAAAUUGUUAUUCUAAUUCUCAUUUAUAUUUUGUACAUGUACAUUUGGGAACAAUCAUGUAUUUGUUCUGAUCAUAUCAUUAUUUGUGACCAUGUAUGAUUGUCAUUUACAUAUGCAUCUAUAGUUUGCUAGAUUCCUAUAUACAUGUUGAAUUAUUAUGGUCCUGUAUGUUAUUCUGUAAAUACUUUGUAAUAUUUUUUUUUGCAUAAUGAUAUAAGGUUUUAGUCUACACUAUGUAAAAGUAUAAGUUUAUAACUAUUCCAGCCACUACUUCACUUGAAAUGUGACAAAAGCCAAUCUAACCAGCCCCAAGCAUGACGUAUAGGAGUCAGAAGAACAAUAGGUCCAUAUUGGCGGGCCUUAAACCAGGAGGGGAGACACUAUAACAAAUACCCUUAAACAUUUAUAUUAUCAGGGAUAUACAUAUCCUAGCAGGAAUAUGAGAUUCUUACCAACAUGUUUCGAAUUUUGUCUAUGUAGAAGACGAAAUAAAACUUAUUGUGUCUUCUAUACAGACACAAUUUAUUAAAGGACAUUAACUAGCACAAGCUAUUCCCUAGAAUGUGUUCACACGUGUUAAUCCAUUAAUGGAUUAAUCCAUUAAUUACGCCAAGGCGUAUUUGAUAUGGUGUCCCCCUAACAAUGGGGAGGUCACUGGUUCAAUCCUCACAAAGGGGAGCGUUCUUAAGAUUUCCCCCUAGGACAUGAAGUACUGGUUCUAGUCCCAGGAAACGGACUCGAGAGCUUUUCAAUAAGCCUAAGGCUUUCGAUGCAAUCAAGCUUAAAUAAAUAGGUUUAAACUAACAAAUCCUUGAAAUGCUUAAAUCUCUUCACUGUUUGACUGAAGAUCAAAGUUAUAUGAGGCUGAAUGUGCAUGUCAUUGUCUGUAGUAAUAUUAAGUUUGCUAAUUUUGAGACAGUGUUGUGUCUGACAAUAUUUGAUAUAUUUUUGUUAUCUAAUAGGUGCUAAUACAAUAAAUAGUUAAACUGUGUUCAAUAACAUGAAUUCCUAUUAUUUGUGUACAUCAGAUAUGAUCCUUUGUCAUGAUAUGUUAUCAUUAAUUGUGAUAAUCAAUUAUGGAAAUAGAAGUAAGUUAAUUGUUAAAUAAAUUUGAAUAAAAACAAAUUCAAAA